GGGUUGUGAGGUUAAGCGACUAAGCGUACACGGUGGAUGCCCUGGCAGUCAGAGGCGAUGAAGGGCGUGCUAAUCUGCGAUAAGCGCCGGUAAGGUGAUAUGAACCGUUAUAACCGGCGAUACCCGAAUGGGGAAACCCAGUGUGACUCGUCACACUAUCAUUAACUGAAUCCAUAGGUUAAUGAGGCGAACCGGGGGAACUGAAACAUCUAAGUACCCCGAGGAAAAGAAAUCAACCGAGAUUCCCCCAGUAGCGGCGAGCGAACGGGGAGGAGCCCAGAGCCUGAAUCAGCAUGUGUGUUAGUGGAAGCGUCUGGAAAGGCGCGCGAUACAGGGUGACAGCCCCGUACACAAAAGCGCAUGUGCUGUGAGCUCGAUGAGUAGGGCGGGACACGUGGUAUCCUGUCUGAAUAUGGGGGGACCAUCCUCCAAGGCUAAAUACUCCUGACUGACCGAUAGUGAACCAGUACCGUGAGGGAAAGGCGAAAAGAACCCCGGCGAGGGGAGUGAAAAAGAACCUGAAACCGUGUACGUACAAGCAGUGGGAGCCCCACCACCAAAGCAUUCUCUGGUGUUGAAGGCCCUGCAAAGCAGCAUCGCGGUGGCGGAGCGUCGUUUGCGACGCCCAACACACAAAACAAGCGGUGAGUGCUUUGGGGUGGGGUGACUGCGUACCUUUUGUAUAAUGGGUCAGCGACUUAUAUUCUGUAGCAAGGUUAACCGAAUAGGGGAGCCGGAGGGAAACCGAGUCUUAAUUGGGCGUUAAGUUGCAGGGUAUAGACCCGAAACCCGGUGAUCUAGCCAUGGGCAGGUUGAAGGUUGGGUAACACUAACUGGAGGACCGAACCGACUAAUGUUGAAAAAUUAGCGGAUGACCUGUGGCUGGGGGUGAAAGGCCAAUCAAACCGGGAGAUAGCUGGUUCUCCCCGAAAGCUAUUUAGGUAGCGCCUCGUGAAUUCAUCUCCGGGGGUAGAGCACUGUUUCGGCUAGGGGGCCAUCCCGGCUUACCAACCCGAUGCAAACUGCGAAUACCGGAGAAUGUUAUCACGGGAGACACACGGCGGGUGCUAACGUCCGUCGUGAAGAGGGAAACAACCCAGACCGCCAGCUAAGGUCCCAAAGUCAUGGUUAAGUGGGAAACGAUGUGGGAAGGCCCAGACAGCCAGGAUGUUGGCUUAGAAGCAGCCAUCAUUUAAAGAAAGCGUAAUAGCUCACUGGUCGAGUCGGCCUGCGCGGAAGAUGUAACGGGGCUAAACCAUGCACCGAAGCUGCGGCAGCGACACUCAGGUGUUGUUGGGUAGGGGAGCGUUCUGUAAGCCUGCGAAGGUGGCCUGUGAGGGUUGCUGGAGGUAUCAGAAGUGCGAAUGCUGACAUAAGUAACGAUAAAGCGGGUGAAAAGCCCGCUCGCCGGAAGACCAAGGGUUCCUGUCCAACGUUAAUCGGGGCAGGGUGAGUCGACCCCUAAGGCGAGGCCGAAAGGCGUAGUCGAUGGGAAACGGGUUAAUAUUCCCGUACUUGGUGUUACUGCGAAGGGGGGACGGAGAAGGCUAUGUUGGCCGGGCGACGGUUGUCCCGGUUUAAGCGUGUAGGUGUGUGUUCCAGGUAAAUCCGGUUCACUUUAACACUGAGGCGUGAUGACGAGGCACUACGGUGCUGAAGCAACAAAUGCCCUGCUUCCAGGAAAAGCCUCUAAGCAUCAGGUAACAUCAAAUCGUACCCCAAACCGACACAGGUGGUCAGGUAGAGAAUACCAAGGCGCUUGAGAGAACUCGGGUGAAGGAACUAGGCAAAAUGGUGCCGUAACUUCGGGAGAAGGCACGCUGACACGUAGGUGAAGUGAUUUACUCAUGGAGCUGAAGUCAGUCGAAGAUACCAGCUGGCUGCAACUGUUUAUUAAAAACACAGCACUGUGCAAACACGAAAGUGGACGUAUACGGUGUGACGCCUGCCCGGUGCCGGAAGGUUAAUUGAUGGGGUCAGCGCAAGCGAAGCUCCUGAUCGAAGCCCCGGUAAACGGCGGCCGUAACUAUAACGGUCCUAAGGUAGCGAAAUUCCUUGUCGGGUAAGUUCCGACCUGCACGAAUGGCGUAAUGAUGGCCAGGCUGUCUCCACCCGAGACUCAGUGAAAUUGAACUCGCUGUGAAGAUGCAGUGUACCCGCGGCAAGACGGAAAGACCCCGUGAACCUUUACUAUAGCUUGACACUGAACAUUGAGCCUUGAUGUGUAGGAUAGGUGGGAGGCUUUGAAGUGUGGACGCCAGUCUGCAUGGAGCCGACCUUGAAAUACCACCCUUUAAUGUUUGAUGUUCUAACGUGGACCCGUAAUCCGGGUUGCGGACAGUGUCUGGUGGGUAGUUUGACUGGGGCGGUCUCCUCCUAAAGAGUAACGGAGGAGCACGAAGGUUGGCUAAUCCUGGUCGGACAUCAGGAGGUUAGUGCAAUGGCAUAAGCCAGCUUGACUGCGAGCGUGACGGCGCGAGCAGGUGCGAAAGCAGGUCAUAGUGAUCCGGUGGUUCUGAAUGGAAGGGCCAUCGCUCAACGGAUAAAAGGUACUCCGGGGAUAACAGGCUGAUACCGCCCAAGAGUUCAUAUCGACGGCGGUGUUUGGCACCUCGAUGUCGGCUCAUCACAUCCUGGGGCUGAAGUAGGUCCCAAGGGUAUGGCUGUUCGCCAUUUAAAGUGGUACGCGAGCUGGGUUUAGAACGUCGUGAGACAGUUCGGUCCCUAUCUGCCGUGGGCGCUGGAGAACUGAGGGGGGCUGCUCCUAGUACGAGAGGACCGGAGUGGACGCAUCACUGGUGUUCGGGUUGUCAUGCCAAUGGCACUGCCCGGUAGCUAAAUGCGGAAGAGAUAAGUGCUGAAAGCAUCUAAGCACGAAACUUGCCCCGAGAUGAGUUCUCCCUGAGACUUAGAGUCUCCUGAAGGAACGUUGAAGACGACGACGUUGAUAGGCCGGGUGUGUAAGCGCAGCGAUGCGUUGAGCUAACCGGUACUAAUGAACCGUGAGGCUUAACCUUACAACGCCGAAG
rnacentral:rRNA from 1 species